rnacentral:rRNA from 1 species
UACAGAGGUCUCAAGCGUUGUUCGGAUUCAUUUGGGCGUAAAGGGUGCGUAGGUGGCGCCGUAAGUCAGGUGUGAAAUUUCGGAGCUUAACUCCGAAACUGCAUUUGAUACUGCGGUGCUUGAGGACUGGAGAGGAGACUGGAAUUUACGGUGUAGCAGUGAAAUGCGUAGAGAUCGUAAGGAAGACCAGUGGCGAAGGCGGGUCUCUGGACAGUUCCUGACACUGAGGCAGCGAAGGCCAGGGGAGCAAAACGGG